rnacentral:rRNA from 1 species
UACAGAGGUCUCGAGCGUUAGGCGGAAUCACUGGGCUUAAAGCGUGUGUAGGUGGAUGCCUAAGUACCUUGUGAAAUCCCACGGCUUAACCGUGGAACUGCUUGGUAUACUGGGUGUCUUGAGUCACUCAGGGGCGAGCGGAACAAAUGGUGGAGCGGUGAAAUGCGUAGAUAUCGCUUGGAACGCCGAAGGUGAAAACAGGCUGCUGGAGUUGCGCCGACGCUGAGACACGAAAGCCAGGGGAGCAAACGGG